rnacentral:rRNA from 1 species
GACGAACCGUGCGAACGUUAUUCGGAAUCACUGGGCUUAAAGCGCGUGUAGGCGGGGCGGCACGUCGGCCGUUGAAAUCCCCCGGCUCAACCGGGGAAGGGGCGCCGAUAUGACCGCCCUCGGGGAACGUAGGGGGAGCUGGAACUUCCGGUGGAGCGGUGAAAUGCGUUGAGAUCGGAAGGAACGCCCGUGGCGAAAGCGAGCUCCUGGACGUUUUCUGACGCUGAGACGCGAAAGCCAGGGGAGCGAACGGG